UUGACCUCGGAUCAGGUAGGGAUACCCGCUAAACUUAA
rnacentral:rRNA from 1 species